UACGUAGGGGGCUAGCGUUGUCCGGAAUCAUUGGGCGUAAAGAGCGUGUAGGCGGCCCGGUAAGUCCGCUGUGAAAGUCGGGGGCUCAACCCUCGAAUGCCGGUGGAUACUGUCGGGCUAGAGUGCGGAAGAGGCGAGUGGAAUUCCUGGUGUAGCGGUGAAAUGCGCAGAUAUCAGGAGGAACACCAAUUGCGAAGGCAGCUUGCUGGGACGGUACUGACGCUGAGACGCGAAAGCGUGGGGAGCAAACAGG
rnacentral:rRNA from 1 species